rnacentral:rRNA from 1 species
UACGGAGGGUGCGAGCGUUGUUCGGAAUUAUUGGGCGUAAAGCGCACGUAGGCGGCUGGGUAAGUCUCACUGUGAAAGCCCGGGGCUCAACCCCGGGAGGCCAGGGGAUACUGCUCGGCUAGAGACAGGCAGAGGCUGGUGGAAUUCCGGGUGUAGCGGUGGAAUGCGUAGAGAUCCGGAGGAACACCUGAGGCGAAGGCGGCCAGCUGGGCCUGAUCUGACGCUGAGGUGCGAAAGCGUGGGGAGCGAACAGGAUUAGAUACCCUGGUAGUCCACGCCGUAAACGAUGGGCACUAGAUGCCGGUGGGAACGACCCCUUCGGUGUCGCAGCUAACGCAUUAAGUGCCCCGCCUGGGGAGUACGGCCGCAAGGCUGAA